rnacentral:rRNA from 1 species
GCAUAACGCGAAGAACCUUACCAAGGCUUGACAUGCAUCCCUAAGCGCGUGAAAGCGCGUGACCCUUCGGGGGAUUUGCACAGGUGCUGCAUGGCCGUCGUCAGCUCGUGUCGUGAGAUGUUGGGUUAAGUCCCGCAACGAGCGCAACCCCUGUGAUUAGUUGCCAGCACGUGAUGGUGGGGACUCUAAUCAGACUGCCCAGAUCAACUGGGAGGAAGGUGGGGACGACGUCAGGUCAGUAUGGCCCUUACGCCUUGGGCUGCACACGUACUACAAUGCCCAGCACAAUGAGAACCGAGACCGCGAGGUGGAGGAAAUCUACAAAACUGGGCCCAGUUCGGAUUGGAGGCUGCAACUCGCCUCCAUGAAGCCGGAAUCGCUAGUAAUGCUGCAUCAGCUACGGCAGCGUGAAUACGUUCCCGGGUCUUGUACACACCG